rnacentral:rRNA from 1 species
GAGUUUGAUUCUGGCUCAGGAUGAACGCUAGCGGCAGGCCUAACACAUGCAAGUCGAGGGGUAACGAUGUCUUCGGACAGUCGACGACCGGCGCACGGGGGAGUAACGCGCGUAUGCAACCUACCCUUAACUGGAGAAUAGCCCGGAGAAAUUCGGAUUAAUGCUCCAUAAUAUUUAGAUACCUCCUGGUAUUUAUCUUAAAGUUCCGACGGUUAAGGAUGGGCAUGCGUGACAUUAGUUUGUUGGUGAGGUAACGGCUCACCAAGACUACGAUGUCUAGGGGGCCUGAGAGGGUAGUCCCCCACACUGGUACUGAGACACGGACCAGACUCCUACGGGAGGCAGCAGUGAGGAAUAUUGGUCAAUGGACGCAAGUCUGAACCAGCCAUGCCGCGUGCAGGAAGACGGCUCUAUGAGUUGUAAACUGCUUUUACACGGGAAUAACCACCGGUACGUGUACCGGUCUGAAUGUACCGUAUGAAUAAGCACCGGCUAACUCCGUGCCAGCAGCCGCGGUAAUACGGAGGGUGCAAGCGUUAUCCGGAUUUAUUGGGUUUAAAGGGUGCGUAGGCGGACCUUUAAGUCAGUGGUGAAAUCCUGCAGCUUAACUGUAGAACUGCCAUUGAUACUGAAGGCCUUGAGUAUAGUUGAGGUAGGCGGAAUGUGUAAUGUAGCGGUGAAAUGCUUAGAUAUUACACAGAACACCGAUUGCGUAGGCAGCUUACUAAGCUAUAACUGACGCUGAUGCACGAAAGCGUGGGGAGCGAACAGGAUUAGAUACCCUGGUAGUCCACGCCGUAAACGAUGAUCACUCGUUGUUGGCGAUACACAGUCAGCGACUGAGCGAAAGCAUUAAGUGAUCCACCUGGGGAGUACGGUCGCAAGAUUGAAACUCAAAGGAAUUGACGGGGGCCCGCACAAGCGGAGGAACAUGUGGUUUAAUUCGAUGAUACGCGAGGAACCUUACCUGGGCUCAAAUGUAGAGUGCAUAAACGGGAAACUGUUUUUUCCUUCGGGACUCUUUACAAGGUGCUGCAUGGUUGUCGUCAGCUCGUGCCGUGAGGUGUCGGGUUAAGUCCCAUAACGAGCGCAACCCCUACCCUUAGUUGCCAGCGGAUAAUGCCGGGGACUCUGAGGGAACUGCCGGUGCAAACCGUGAGGAAGGUGGGGAUGACGUCAAAUCAGCACGGCCCUUAUGUCCAGGGCUACACACGUGUUACAAUGGCCGGUACAGAGGGCAGCUACCAGGCAACUGGAUGCGAAUCUCGAAAGCCGAUCUCAGUUCGGAUUGGAGUCUGCAACUCGACUCCAUGAAGCUGGAAUCGCUAGUAAUCGCGUAUCAGCAAUGAUCCGGUGAAUACGUUCCCGGGCCUUGUACACACCGCCCGUCAACCCAUGGAAGCUGGGGGUACCUGAAGUCUGUGACCGCAAGGAGCGGCCUAGGGUAAAACUGGUAACUAGGGUUAAGUCGUAACAAGGUAGCCGUA